ACGAAGAUUUCCCGACGAAAAGCAACCCUUGCCAUUCGGUUACCUACAAAGAAAACGAGGGUGAUCGCGAGUGGAGGCGGUUCGGUUGCUGCGCAGACGAGGGUCGACGAGGGUUAUCUUCGCCGAGCGGCGAGGAGACGGUGGAAGGGAGGAAGCUUUAUCGUCCCGAGACUCGCUCCGUUUCGCCCUGGAUUUUUGCGGGACACUAGCCAGCAGGAAGACAAACGCACAGACACGUUUUACACGCACACAGAGACGCGGCGUGCACGCGCAUUCGCCUCCCUUUCUCCGUCCGCUUGUUCGUGUUGCGUAACGUAUCAAUUUCGCACCGCGUAUACUUUCGUAAUUAACAGAAUUCGUUAAUACCUAUUAAUAAACCGCAAUAAGCACAGCGCGCGCAGACUGGACCGUCGCAGAUAAUACGGCGGCACGGCGUAGAAAAUGUUUUGGUUAACCAGCCGAACGGGACGGUGUUGUCAUCUCCGUGUCAACAGCGUGUUGACUUCUGCGAAUCUGGGAAUAAAAAAGGGAACGAAGAAAUCAUGAAGUAACAUCACUUACCAUCCACCGAAGUGGAAGACGAAAUGGCCGAUGGUCCUUCCGUGUUCUUCGGCCGUUCCUCCAUUUCAAGGUCGCCACUGACGACUUCCGUCGGCGCGCAUGCGCACUACAGGAAUGCCCACAACACGAUCCACACGAAACACGAUUCACCAUCGAGCCACAAUUGAACAACAAAUAUUUCGGAAAUAUGGCCACCGGCGUGCGCGAUAGAUUCGUUUUUUCUUUCUUUCGCUGGCCCGUUAUCAUUGGAGUGUCUCUCCCGGCGAUUUUCUCUCUCCUUUUUUCUUCUUCGCGGAAGAUUAGGCAACCGCCAUCUUGAACCGCGAGUGGGGAGAGUUCAUUAUCUGGCGCAGAACGAUCAAACGGAUGGUCAGAAUCAAAGAAGUUUUGUUGCCUUGUCGAAUCGAUUAUUCCACGAAACAGUUAAAAUCUGUUUAUGCUUUUCGAUGUUUCAAUCAUCUUUAAUGAUAAUAAAUUGGAACUCGACGAGCUCGACGCCUCGACGGAACUUAAGGCCAAGGCCCGUCUGAAUUUUUCAAUCAAUUGACUGUACUUGUAAUAAAUUGUAGAAAUGUUUA